rnacentral:ncRNA from 1 species
GAAAAAGUAAUGAUAAGGACAUGAGAUGAUUUUUACGGUUUACAGAGAGGGAGGCCAUAGGCUGUGAGCUUCCUAACACGGGAAAUCAUUUUACCACCUUUGAACUUCAAUAGUGAAAGAGUAAUCUAGUAAUUAUUGACGGACUCAGCCGUUAUCUGAUCUUGAGCAAUCCAAAGGAAAUGUUAAGUUGUUGGAUUGAAACAAGGGUGGAACCACGAAAAACACAUUCGUCCCUUUA